AAACGCUCUGAAGCCUCAUUGUUGGUAUUAUUCUUGGAACAAUGUGUCUCAGAGUGUUAU
rnacentral:pre_miRNA from 1 species